AUUUAAGAUUGAGAUGUCAUCUAGAUUGCUGAGAACUGAAAGACCCCCAGAGUGGGGAGACCCUCACUCAAGUCUUGGGAUAAGCCGAUGCCCCAAUAAUUCAAGAGAGACC
rnacentral:pre_miRNA from 11 species